GGUGUCAUAGCUCAGUUGGUAGAGCAAAGGACUGAAAAUCCUUGUGUCCCCGGUUCGAUUCCUGGUGGCACCA
rnacentral:tRNA from 4 species